rnacentral:rRNA from 1 species
GCCUAGCCCUAAAUCUCGAUGCCUGCCCUACCAAAGCAUCCGCCCGGGGACUACGAGCACAAACGCUUAAAACUCUAAGGACUUGGCGGUACCCCAAACCCACCUAGAGGAGCCUGUUCUAUAAUCGACAACCCACGAUACACCUAACCACUUCUUGCCCAACCAGCCUACAUACCGCCGUCGCCAGCUCACCUCCCCUGAGAGCAUAGCAGUGAGCACAAUCGCCCUAACCCCGCUAGUAAGACAGGUCAAGGUAUAGCCCAUGAAGUGGAAGAAAUGGGCUACAUUUUCUAACUUAGAAAACCCUAAACGAAAGGGGGUAUGAAUAACCCCCGGAAGGCGGAUUUAGCAGUAAAGGAGAAUAAUAAAGUCCCCUUUAAACCGGCUCUGAGGUAC